CCUACGGGGAGCAGCAGUGGGGAAUAUUGGACAAUGGGCGAAAGCCUGAUCCAGCCAUGCCGCGUGUGUGAAGAAGGCCUUCGGGUUGUAAAGCACUUUCAGUGGGGAAGAAAGCCUUGGGGCUAAUACCCUCGAGGAAGGACAUCACCCACAGAAGAAGCACCGGCUAACUCCGUGCCAGCAGCCGCGGUAAUACGGAGGGUGCGAGCGUUAAUCGGAAUUACUGGGCGUAAAGCGCGCGUAGGCGGUCUGAUAAGCCGGUUGUGAAAGCCCCGGGCUCAACCUGGGAACGGCAUCCGGAACUGUCAGGCUAGAGUGCAGGAGAGGAAGGUAGAAUUCCCGGUGUAGCGGUGAAAUGCGUAGAGAACGGGAGGAAUACCAGUGGCGAAGGCGGCCUUCUGGACUGACACUGACGCUGAGGUGCGAAAGCGUGGGUAGCAAACAGGAUUAGAUACCCCGGAGUC
rnacentral:rRNA from 1 species